rnacentral:lncRNA from 1 species
AGAAGUAUUCAGAAGUGACUGGACAUAAUAUCCAUGUGUUUACCAAGAAAGAAUAAGGAAUGGGAGUAGUAUGCAAAUAGGAAUUUCUUACUCAUGAAAAAAUCAGGCCACAUGGACAGUGGUACUGCCCCUCCUGAUAGGAUGGGCAUACCCCCUAUUAUCUAAUGGAGGGACAGAUGCAUCCGGGGUGGUCAUGAAAAUUGCUCUAAUGGUACAGUUAGAUGCCUCAGGCCAAAAAAGCCAACUGGGUGGAGUUAAUGGAAAUUAGGCAGGGCCCAAACCAAAGGCAAUAGACCUGUCUUUUUUUUCUCUUCAUUCUUCUUUUUGAAUUCCUCUCCCCACCCGCCCCAACCUCCUCCACAGUGGGAACUUGUGUGUGCUGU